AGGACAGCACUGCAUGCUCAUCACAGCACGAGGCAGCAUCGGGACGGGGGCACAGGGGGCCAAAAGGAAAGGCACAUUCACAGAGCUCUCCUGGCACAAGGCACCGCUGCAAACCAAAUUCCUUCUUCGGAGCAGCCAGCUCCAGGAGGCCCUCAGCAUUGCAAGCAGGAGGGCAGACAAGCCACUCCUUAACGAGGCCUGGCCCAGCUCUGCUAGGUCUCCUCAUCCCAGAGGCAGAGCUGCUUCUGCGGCACGUAGUAAUCAAAGGUGUAGCCCUUCUGGCAGCUGCGGAUGCCGCAUUUGUAGGAAGAAACCUUGCCUGCAGCAUCACGACUCUUGCAGUACUUGAGCAUGCACGGGUACCACUCGAUGCUCAGCGAGUAGCUGCAGAUGCACGGCUUCCAGCGGUCCGUGCACAGCUUGCAGCGCUGCAGGUCGGGCAGGUCGGAUGUCUGUGGCAGGACCUCGAACAUGGAGCCGUCCAUCCCUUUCUCCAGCCAAAAUUUGACAUCUUCUUCACGGGUAUAAAUUGCUUCUUUGGCCUCCGCGCAGACGUUGUGGAUGUGAGAGCUCAGCUGGGCCCCUUUGCUGAAGUUGACAGCUACGUCCAUGCUGAGAUGCUCCAGGCCCCGCACCUCCUCCGCCUGCCGCACUGUCCUGGGGUUCUUCUGCCGUAGCUUGGCCAUGGACUCGCUGGGGAUGAUCUCGUUGCGGUGGAGCCGCGUGACAAAGCAGAGCGCUUGGAAUUGGCUCUGGCCCCUCUCCAGCUCCCCCAGGAUUAAGGCACGGAAGAUUUUCACCUCCUGUCUGAAGUCGGCGGUGAGAGUGAUGAGCGCCCCGUCGGCUUUGCGCAGCUCCAGGCUGAUGCAGUCGGAACCGCUGUCCGCUUGCAGGCUCUCCUCCGUCACCUGCCCGCCGGGCAGCCGCACCCGCACCCGCAGCUCAGCCCUGGCAGCGGGGCCGGGCAGCGGGGCUAAGGCGAGCCAGAGCAGGGCGGGCAGCGCCGGCAGCCGGGGGCCGCGCAUCCCACCGCGCCUUCCCGGGGCUCAGCGCAGAGCCGCGCAGCCGCCGCCCCCGUCCCGCAUCGGGCGGAGCGGUGCGGAGCGCUCCCCGCUCCUCCGGCGCCCGCGGCACGCUCAGCCCUCACCCCCCC
rnacentral:lncRNA from 1 species